GUAGGGAAUCUUCGGCAAUGGACGAAAGUCUGACCGAGCAACGCCGCGUGAGUGAAGAAGGUUUUCGGAUCGUAAAACUCUGUUGUUAGAGAAGAACAAGUGGGAGAGUAACUGUUCCCACCUUGACGGUAUCUAACCAGAAAGCCACGGCUAACUACGUGCCAGCAGCCGCGGUAAUACGUAGGUGGCAAGCGUUGUCCGGAUUUAUUGGGCGUAAAGCGAGCGCAGGCGGUUUCUUAAGUCUGAUGUGAAAGCCCUCGGCUCAACCGAGGAAGGUCAUUGGAAACUGGGGAACUUGAAUGCAGAAGAGGAGAGUGGAAUUCCAUGUGUAGCGGUGAAAUGCGUAGAUAUAUGGAGGAACACCAGUGGCGAAGGCGACUCUCUGGUCUGUAAUUGACGCUGAGGCUCGAAAGCGUGGGGAGCAAACAGGAUUAGAAACCCUAGUAGUCC
rnacentral:rRNA from 1 species